rnacentral:rRNA from 1 species
UACGGGGGGAGCAAGCGUUGUUCGGAUUUACUGGGCGUAAAGGGCGCGUAGGUGGCUUUUCAAGUCCGCCGUCAAAUCCCAGGGCUCAACCCUGGACAGGCGGUGGAAACUGCCAAGCUGGAGUACGGUAGGGGCAGAGGGAAUUUCCGGUGGAGCGGUGAAAUGCGUAGAGAUCGGAAAGAACACCAACGGCGAAAGCACUCUGCUGGGCCGACACUGACACUGAGAGACGAAAGCUAGGGGAGCGAAUGGG